CUUUUUGUCAUUUGUAGCUUGUAUGAAGUGAGUUUAUUACAUCUGCCUCCCCGGGACUGUCCCUCCAAUUCAGUAAAACUGGAACUGUAGGGUUUGCCAUUUGCCCGAGGGGAUGGUUUUGGAGUUUUUUUGGUUGUGAGAGGUCUGAGUCCACAGCUGGUCAGCUUUCGACGAGUGACUCUUGGUUGCGGGGCCAGGGGGGGACCUA
rnacentral:lncRNA from 1 species